UGGGUCAUGUAGCCUGACCCAAGAAGCUAAGGACACUAGGACUUUAGAAGAGGUAGUGUGCUUUCGUUCACGGAGUUAAGAGUUUUCCCUUCAUCCGAUUAGAUUUUCGUUUUGGACGGGAUAGAGGAACCUUAAAAACCUGAGUUGCCACAUCCCUGGUCAUAGAGAAGCCCUGGCCUGGUCCAGUCAGUUGUGACUAGUCAUAUGUGCUGGCGUCGAAGGUGAGUUUGAUGCGUUCAAACAUCUGGGUCCUCUCCGGUGACCAAUUGAGAAAGUAUACGAUUACAAAGUGACAGUACGGUUCAUGAACGUAAUUCCAUGAUCCUCAAGGAGGGGAUACAUGGUGGUGUCCUGGUAGUGUGUAGAAUGAUUGCAUGGUAGCUCAGUCUUGGGGGUUUUCCUGACACUCCAAUGGUCUUUCAUUCUCAAGUAGAGAGGAUUUAUCCAUGUGGUGAGGAGUAGCAGGAGGUCCUAGUCUUGGAGGCUUCCAGUAUGCUCCAGGACACGGAACGGACUAACCUCGUGAGUGUGGUAGGGUGGAACCCAUUGGCAACGGCUUUGCAAAGCAGUAGAGGCCACCACGAGUGCAUAACCCGCCAUAGCUCGGUAAUCAUUCUGGUCCGGACGAGUCGGUUUAUAAAGCAACGAGUCAAGUCUAGUUUGUGACAUGUUCCUUUAUGAAGAGGAGGUGUCUGUGGAGCAAGCGUUGGAAGAAGGUGAUGCUGCAGCUUAGUAUGUCUAGGAUCUUAAUUAGUAGUACUAUUCUGAUGAUAAUUCACAGUGGUCCUUUAUGUUUAAGAGACCAACUCUGAUUUUAUUUUGGAUGACUGUAACUAAUAUAGUCUGUUAUAUGUCUCUAACUACUUUCAAUAUUAUAAUCGAAUGACAUCUUUAUUAUA